rnacentral:rRNA from 1 species
UACAGAGGUCCCAAGCGUUGUUCGGAUUCACUGGGCGUAAAGGGUGCGUAGGUGGCCGGUUAAGUCUGACGUGAAAUCUCUGAGCCCAACUCAGAAACUGCGUCGGAAACUAUCCGGCUUGAGGGUUGGAGGGGGGACUGGAAUACUUGGUGUAGCAGUGAAAUGCGUAGAUAUCAAGUGGAACACCAGUGGCGAAGGCGAGUCCCUGGACAACUCCUGACACUGAGGCACGAAAGCUAGGGGAGCAAACAGG